rnacentral:rRNA from 1 species
CCUACGGGUGGCUGCAGUGGGGAAUAUUGCACAAUGGGCGCAAGCCUGAUGCAGCCAUGCCGCGUGUGUGAAGAAGGCCUUCGGGUUGUAAAGCACUUUCAGUGGGGAGGAAGGCGUUAAGGUUAAUAACCUUGGCGAUUGACGUUACCCGCAGAAGAAGCACCGGCUAACUCCGUGCCAGCAGCCGCGGUAAUACGGAGGGUGCAAGCGUUAAUCGGAAUUACUGGGCGUAAAGCGCACGCAGGCGGUCUGUCAAGUCGGAUGUGAAAUCCCCGGGCUCAACCUGGGAACUGCAUUCGAAACUGGCAGGCUAGAGUCUUGUAGAGGGGGGUAGAAUUCCAGGUGUAGCGGUGAAAUGCGUAGAGAUCUGGAGGAAUACCGGUGGCGAAGGCGGCCCCCUGGACAAAGACUGACGCUCAGGUGCGAAGGCGUGGGGAGCAAACAGGAUUAAUACCCUGGUAGUC